rnacentral:pre_miRNA from 1 species
AAAAUAUUCCAUCCGUCUCAAAAUUCUUGUAUUUGAUUUGUGUAGAUAUGAAUGUAUCUAGUCAUGUGUUAGUAUUUACAUACAUCCAUUUUUAGACAAACGUAAGACAAGAAUUUUGGGACGGAGGGAGUACUUU